UGUUAAUGUAAACUCCAGAUGUUUCUACAGAUAUAGUAUCGGGACUAGGUGUCUUCCAUUGUUAGGCACAUGUGUGCAUCGGCAUGUGUUCGGCUCGGCUUCUCUCAGGGGAAUCACUCUUGGCACAAGUCCAUACCCACAUACACAUUGCAUUAGAUGUACUGGUAUUGGCAUUAGUCCAUAAUAUCUGUCAAUAUAUCCAAUAUAUCACAAUAAACUGAACUUGCUGAACCUUCAAUACACUUUAUUCUUCCUGUCAACAUCACUGCACUGGUCCACUUGCCCCGUCUGAAGCCAAAGAGGCCAAAUACUUUCAUCUACUGUAAAAUAAUCAAACCAAGCCCACUCCAGUGUGAUUAGGUUUGCUUGGCUUGGCAGUCAUCCCAAGACUGUAUAAAAGCCUUCCAAGGUGGCAGAAAAAAUAUCAAGUGGUGUUUGACCCGCCUGUAUAAUAUUUCACCUGAUGUCAAAGAGAGCAGGCAGGUUUUAAAGGUUUUAAUUCACAGUGUCUUUUAUCUCGGAUACGUAGAAGAAACAGUUUUUCUUCUACAAUAGCUGAAAAAAAUCUGCAUUUUCUGUACCAAUCAGAAUUGAUUAUUCACUAAGCCCCACCCCCCCCCUUAUUAACUGAUACCAUGUCUGUAAAAGCUAGCACAUAUGCAGGUCACCAUGAUAUCGGUGCUUUUGGAAUUUUUGAAUCACCGAAAUAUGUCUGCAAGCGUGUUCUGUAUUUACAUCAUGUUACAUGUGAAAAGACCUUUAGAUAAAAGCAGACCUCUUAUUUCUAGCUGUCAGUUUACAGUGCUUUCAGAACAGCUAAGGGGUGUUGUUAAGGCCUUUACAGACUGAGAUCAUGAUGAAUUAUCGCCACAAAAUUGCGAAACAUUCGCCUCUAGCAGUCUGUGAUUGUUUUUGUCAUUAUUUGUGGAGCCAAAGCUCAGAAAAAUCAGCCUUGUUCUGAAAAUUAUGUUGCUUUUUUGACACCUAAUAUUCAGGUUCUGUGAAACUAUAUUGAUGCACAAAUUAAAUGCAUCCAAAAAAAAAAAAAAAAAAACACCCUCAGUGUGUAAAGAGCUUUAGGCACAACACUGUAGUUGUAAACCACAGCUGCUUGGGACUUGUUUUGUUAGUACAUCAGGCCUAAACAACAAUCCUUUGAUAUGAUUUUCAAAACAUAUUCACCUGCUCUUUGGAGAAUUUAAAAAUUUUCCACCACAUUUCACAAAAAAAUCUCUCAACUAGUUGAGGUAUUCUGUUAACACACGAACAAACAAACAGAAAUGUCUUUACAGAUGUAUUUACUCAUCUUAGUAACCGUUACCAAGGGUAGCAUUUCCAAAACUUAAGCAUUUUCAGGCCACUCUGGGUGUGUUUCACACUGCAGCGAGGCAUGCUCGGUAUAUUGAACUCUUGUCAUAACUGCUCAGCAAACAUUCUCUGGUAUUCUAAAUAUUUUUCUUUGAAUAUCUCAAAAACAGUCCACAGAGUGAACAAACCGGUGCCCGGCCAAGUGCACAAUCCAGAAGCUUAGGCAAAGUUUUGGUGUCGCCUUUUAGCUGGAGGGCUUGUUGAUGCAGUAACUCAUAAAUAUGCAGAUUUAUGGGGAAGCAGAGGGAACAAAGCUGGUUUUAGUUUUUUAAAAAAGUACGAUAACAGCCAUGAUUAGAUAUGUUGUGACAUUUAAGGACCUCCCGAGGAUGCCACACACUGUUUAACAGGUGUUUCCUUUAUGGUAUACACUGCAGUCCUGGUAUUUCCAUUUGCAAAGAGGCUAUUAAGUCUUCUUAGACUUUGAGAGAAGGGAGGAAAAACUGCAGGAGAAAUCAAGCAGUUGGCCCGACUCUCUGAAUCAGGAAAUUGGUUUCAUUACAUUAUUUCCUAGACGGUGUGUGUUUGUGCCUUUCCUCUCUUCAUUAUGGCUCACAAACAAAGGGACCACCAGAGGAAACCUGAUUUUGUGUUGCACCCAGUUUUGGAGGAAACACUUAGGACAGGACCAAACACACACAAAGAGCCCAGUGGAUUACAAAGAGCCUCCCCUCUUCUUUGUGAGAGGCUUCACAAGCCCAGGUUAGUUUUCUUUUCUCUCUUUUUUUUACAAUGCCUGUCUUUCAUGCAGCGCUGGACUGAGGGCUGGGAAUACCAGGUUCAGGUAACAGUAUGUUAGAGGAGGACGACGACAUCGAGAUGAGGGAGAGGGCUCCACUGUUCACUCCACUCAGCCACGAACAUGCAGUUGUGCCAAAACAAGCAAAUACACCGCACAGCUGAAGGUGGCGCCGCAGAAGGUCCUCUUUGUCCAAACAAAGCUGAAGUAUGAAGUGCAUCACAGCCAGAGAAACGAAGCAGACACCGGCUGUUUUGGCACAGCAAAUCUACAAGACGUCACGAGCUUGAUUUAUGGGGAUUCACUUUUUGUUACUACAGGGAAAAAACAUGCAUUUCUUUCUAUGAAAAUGUCACAAAUUCCUAUUCUGCCUGUGCGUUUACUGUGCUUACACUGCUUUCAACGCAGUAGUGUGUACGAACUAAACCAAACUAUAUAAAAAGUGUGUCUGAAAACACUCUAAAGGUCAGUCCAAACAGAGCCCGAGCGCCAGUCUCUUUUUUUGAACUCUUUCUUCCUCUCCUUCUCCCCGCCUUCCACCUGCUUCCUCCGGGCCAAUUGUAAUUCAUCAGGCAGCGGUGUCCAGAGGAAACGUGUAGUGGGUGAGGGAGGAUAAGAGUUUAAUCCAUCAAACCUCUUCCACUCCCCCCUCGCAGCUGACUCAACAACUUCUCACCAGGAUUACAAACUCCUGAGAGGGGGGGUCCGACGCGUACGCUUCGAUCCACCCUCGCUCCGAGCCCCCGCGGGCUUCUGUUGGACGGACAAUCCGACCCUCAAAAGACUUGGUUUCACGUAUUUACUAUGAAACUAGCCUGGCCGUGUGCUCAGAGUCCCUGCAGCGGGAUGAGUCAGACUGAAUCCAGUCCCACUGUGACUUCCACCUCUGCUCCUGAGCCGAUGAAUAAGUCAGUGAAUGACAAAAUAUACACAGAUCAGAAGCCACGAUGUGGAGGAGGUACAGACCUCUGCUCUUUGCUUUCUGCCUUAAAGGAGCAUGCUACCAAUUUUACCAAUUAAAAUCAGUUUAGUUGUCAAAAAACAUACUACUAAUCAGGGUUUUCUGUUAGUGCUUGCUGCUGGCUGCUUUCUUACUGUUUCAAGUCACGUCACCGUCAUUUUUUUAUAACGUUAUAUCUGUAAUCUCAAACCGCAUGAAGGAUUUUUGUAAUCAGAGAAACAAGCUGAGCAAACAGCCCCCUUUAUGUCCUGUUUCCACCAAAAAAAACUACAGAUUUUUAACGUGAAACAGUUUUAUUCACAGUUUUUACAGAUUUUAAUCAUGUGGUCCGUUUGUUUUGAAGAGGAGACCUGUGUGGAUAGUAAAAACCUUGACGAUGAAUACUGAAGGAAUCCUAACUUUAAAAUACGAUGAGCUAACAUUAGUAGCAGCUCAGCUAACAGCCAACAGCCCCUUAACUGACGUCCUGUGUCUGCAGAAGAGCACUGACAAAGCACAGAUUUUUAUCAUUAAACUACUUUAUUCAGUGAUUUUACCAGUUUUAACUACUGUGACUGUUUGUUUUGGAGGGGGGAGACAUCUGAGGAUAAUUCGGCUAACGGUAAAAACCUCCAGAACAAUAAACAAUGAAGUAAAUAAUUUUUUCUUGAAGCAAGCCUAUGUAUAUAUAAACCAGAAUUAGCAAAGGGCUACUGAAGGCACGUCAGUAUCGUGGGAUUCAACUGAAAUUCUACCUGAACCCUCGCAGCCUGUCCUUCACCUGCCCCACCCUCUAACCCCUCCCUUCCCCUCCCAAGCUUACAUAUUCAUUUAAAUAGCCGAGUGCAGCGCCAGAUAAUUAGAGGGCAAAACCGGAUCAGUUGCUGCCUCUGCUACUGUCUCUAUAUGCUGUAAAGUGCACUCUCUUUACUCAGCAUUUUAAACAACGAUGGCUGUAAGUCUGACUGAGUAACUCCCCCAGCCUGGGAAAUUUAAUCAUCAUGACUCCUGUGUAUUUAAUCACAAAUUAUUCAGCAACUGACGAUGAAAUUCCUCCUGGCUCUUUGCAGAUGAGAUGACUCAGAGAGUCGUCUGCUGAUAUUCUUUGGAAACUGCUGAUUUAUUCCAUAUGCCGUAAACCCCCGAGAGGGAUUUGCGGACUUUCACUACCUGUUUACCAUUACUCAAAUAAAAUAGUUUUGAGAACAAGUGACCAGCCAGCAGACCGUGGUCACAAAUAUGCAGUGUUUGCAUGUGCACAAACAGCCUGAACCUGCAAACACAAACACUUUCUAUUCAGUGAGAAAUGUGCUUCAAAUCCCUGUUUACAUUUGGAGCCCGAGCACAGUCGUGAUUUAAAUCUUACACAGGGAGUGCCUUCGCCUUCAUACUCCAACACUUCUCCGAUGCGCCAUAACCUCCAUGUUUGGGAUUGGCGUGAACGCGUCAUUGUCAACUCUUACACAACCCCCCUGAGGCAAUCCCAUCAACCCAACACAAAGGCCAGACGUCCUCCAAGGUGUGUCAACACACAAGAGCAAAGCAUGUCAGAAACCACAGCCAUGCUUUGUUACACUGACCCAGCAUUGUGGAGAGAUUAGAGAGAUAACGGCUACAUCCCCGGUAAACAGAAACAAGAAGCCGCUCAUCUGCUGUAAACCUGUGUUAAACUGAAGUCUAAACAACCAGCGUAAACACCUCAUUCAUGUCAGGCAACAAACGGCCAUUUGUUCACAUGUGUGUGUGCAUGUGUGUGCUAAACCUGUAAGUCAGGACAGGUCGGUGCACGUCAGCCAGUAAACAUCUCAGCCGUCUGGUUGAUGGAAAUUUUAAGAGGAAGAAACUUAAACUAAAGCACAGUGACAAAAAAGGACAGGUUUACCAUCAACGGCAGAGGAUGAAAAACUGUUAAGACUUUUAGCCUGUUUGUGUUUGGUAAAGAGAGAGGAGAAAUGAGAGUAAUCUGAUAUUAGUUUAGCAUUUCCAGCAUGUUUUCCCUCCUCAUUAGCCAGUCACAGUUUGGGUGAGGUUUUACUUUGCCUCCAAGUUUUGAAUCCAAGUAGUAGGACACGGGAGAGAACAUGUUUAAAUGUAAUCUGAUGCCCAGUGAUUUCACAAUUCUAGAAAAUAGAGAACAGAAUACUAAUACUAAUGUACUAAACUGUGGUAUUUCCCUCUUUAAAAAAUUAUUUCUUCAUUCAUUCCCCCAACCCCCCACCCCCCAGACGAAGGGCAACAACCAGAGGCCUCAAAAGCCCUACAUUCACCACGUGUCAGUUGAUUUUGAUAAUUUGAACAAUUAAAAAUCUGCCCAAGAAUUCACACCACAAAGGAACAACAUCAACUAAGAUAAGUCAUGCAUGACUUCUUUAAUCUUAAACUUGCAACGUUUUAAUGUUUCAUGUUUUAUUUAUCAUUAUUAUUAUUUAUUUAUUUAUUUUUGCAAACAGUUAUUUACCAAUAUUAUUCUUUUUUUGUUUCUACCAACUCUUGAGGGAAAAAUUUGACUCUUUUAUCGGCUAAAUGCUAAAUGCUAAUGAAGGUAGGGUGGUUUGUUCCUUCUCUCUGAUACGGCUUGACGCGGCGCCCCCUACAGCUGCAGGCUGUAUAAGAAACAUUCAAUAAUAAACAUGCGGCGUGUUCCGGAACUCGAUCGUCAUGGUUACAGAAAUAAAGCUUAUGGACUGGAUACAGUUUGGUUAGGUUUAGACACAGCGACUGCUAUGUGAAGCUUAGGGAAAGACCGCGGUUUGGGCGUAAGUAAGUACUUCUGAAAUAUAAGGACUUUUGUUGUCAUGGUUACAAUCGCAGAACUAUCACAGUAACAAGAAACAACAAUGAUUAUUGAGCUCAAACAAGAAACUACCAGUGAUCUCCCAUGUCAAAGUCUAAUUUGGACUUAACUGUGCUUUACGCUAUGUCACCUGACUUCCUCCUUAGCUCCCAUCAUAAUAGAGGUCGCCCAACAAUGAGAUGUAAUAAGUUCCUAACACAAAUGACCUGUGGGCUUGUUUUUUACAGGAGUUAAGUCUGACAGGCAGUGGGUUUUUAGAGAUAACCGCUUCGAGACCUCUGUUUCCCACAUGGUUUUAAAUUAAAUUGCCUCAAUCUGACACACAGAAAAGCCCAGGCUAACAGUAUUAUUCAAAUACAAGAAUAAUGGUUGUUUUUUUAGGUCUUUGUGUGAAGGACUAUACUUGAUGAGAAUUUGUUGGGAGGGUGGGAGAGAGGGUACAAACACAAAGCACUAAGGGUGGGAGCGGCCUCAAUAGGGACCCAACAACCCAAUUAAAAAGUAAAAUAACUGUUAUUGUGUAAACGAUGUAGAGAACAUGUGGGACAUGUUUUGGGACUGGCUGGAUGCUCUGUUUUCAUUCUGACUACUGUGUCAUGAAAACACAAGAGCUUUUCACUUCUCCGGCAUCGACCACAACUCACAAAAUAUAAAAACAACCACAUCUGAUCAUGAUCUAAAAAUCCAAACAGUAAAAAAACACACACUAAAUGAACUUUACAGAAUACACAGAAGUGCAUUUUGUAGCAAUGAGAGGGAAUAGAGAUGAUUCUCUUUGGUGUAUAUCAUACAUCUUUAAAAAUAGACCCUUCACAGCAAGUCUGCAACUGUCUUUGAUCAGAGUAAUGCAUGUCAAAACAGCAGUGAAUGUAUUAGCUUUUUUGUACAGAAAUAAGAAGGAGGAGAAAUGAAUGAUUGUUAUUUUUGCACAUAUAAUUGCAGCUAUAUAACAUACAUGUGUCAUGGAGAUACGAUGAUGAGUCUGCUGCUUGUUUCAUCAUGCCGUGCUGUUUCUGCCAACACAAUAAAGCCAAAGGCGAUGGAAGUGCUUACGGCACAACACACAUGAGAACUGAGCUGUAAUCAGUUCCAACAUGCCGUUAUUUGAUUAUCUAUCCCUCUGUAGCCACACAGUACAUUUAUUCACGCUCCUGCUCUGUCUGACUGUGUUAUGACUGAUCUGCAAGCACAUGCUCCUUGUAAACAUAAGCAGCUUGCUGCUAUAGUGAAUCCCUCCAUGGUUCUUUGGCAGUGGAUGGACAUGUUCAAUCAAUAUAAUCCACUUAAGUGGGAUGGAGACAGAUUACUUCAAGGUUAAACAACCUGGUGUCUGCUGAAUGAAUUGCCAAUAAUAUGCCAUAUGACCUAUUAAUGUUCAUUGCAUGGUUGUUAUGACCCAACUGACAUAUCCCGGACCCCCCUCAUACGGGAAGCAGGUGGACUUAUCUGCGUCCAGCGGGCCACUUCACAGCCUCUGUGACCAUAAGCGCGGAUGCACAUUAAUGGGCAGGAAAGGAGCGAGUUUGCAUAAAACCAAAACACAAUGCAGUCGACGGCAAAUAUACAGUAAAGUCAUUAUGUUGUGGCUAAGCCGUGCCAAGUCCUCCACUUCCCAAUGACGCACGACGAGCGCUCACAGAUGCGGGUUAGGGGUCUCUGUGGAGGUUUCAAUAAUGGACGCGCAAUCAGGGUUUUCUCUUACUUUGAACCUCGAUUGUCUGGAGCGUCUCUAAAGACUCACUAAGGACUUGUGGAAAAAACCACUGACAAUGUAAACCCAAAUCCAAAAAUACACGGCCACGAUAUCAUUUACACGUUUAACUGUGAUCUUUAUACUGUGAUAUUUAGACUUUUAGUGUUAGUUUGUUUUUGGACUGCUGUAUCCAAGGAUGAAUAAGAAGAAAUCAAAACAUCUAAAAACUUGGAUUAAGUGUUGAACAGCAGCCUGCGUUUAAUCUAAAUCAUCUUUUCACUCGGAUUACACACUCAGAACAAACCAGG